UUUCCAAUCGGUUUGUUUGCUGCCUCUUCAGCCGGUUUAUUUUCAGUCCCUCCGGUCGGUUUAUCUGCUGGUUUAUCUGUUGGUCCUCCAGCAGGGUUAUCUUUUGGUUUAUCUGCUGGUCCUCCAGCUGGUUUAUUUCCUGGCUUAUCUGUUGGUCCACCAACGGGUUUAUCUUUUGGUUUAUUUGAUACCUCUCCAGCUGGUUUACUUUCUGGCUUAGUUGUUGGUCCACCAGCAGGUUUAUCUUUUGGUUUAUUUGAUGCCUCUCCAGCCGGUUUACUUUCUCGCUUAUCUGUUGGUCCUCCAGCGGGUUUAUCUUUUCGUUUAUUUGAUGCCUCUCUAGAUGGUUUACUUUCUGGCUUAUCUGUUGGUUCACCAGCGGGUUUAUCUUUUGGUUUAUUUGAUGCCUCUUCAGCCGGUUUAUUUUCUGGCUUAUCUGUUGGUCCUCCAGCGGGUUUAUCUGCUGGCUUACUUCCUGGCUUAUCCGUCGGUCCUCCAGCGGGUUUAUCUUUUGGUUUAUUUACUGGUCCUCCAGCUGGUUUACUUUCUGG
rnacentral:lncRNA from 1 species